UCCGAGUUGACCCCGGCAGUCUCCCAUGAGUCCCCGGCAUAACCCGCUGGCAACAUGGAACGAGGGUUGCGCACGUUGCGGGACUUAACCCAACAUCUCACGACACGAGCUGACGACAGCCAUGCACCACCUGUGCACACCCCCGAAGGACACCAUGUCUCCACAGCUUUAGUGUGCAUGUCAAACCCAGGUAAGGUUCUUCGCGUUGCAUCGAAUUAAUCCGCAUGCUCCGCCGCUUGUGCGGGCCCCCGUCAAUUCCUUUGAGUUUCAGCCUUGCGGCCGUACUCCCCAGGCGGAGUGCUUAAUGCGUUAGCUACAGCACUAAAGGGCGGAAACCCUCUAACACUUAGCACUCAUCGUUUACGGCGUGGACUAC
rnacentral:misc_RNA from 1 species